rnacentral:tRNA from 1 species
CAAUAUCAUUACUCAUACUGAAACUUACAAAGUCAUCUUUUUGAAGAUCGAAGAAAUUCCCCGGCUUUGAUAAAAUUUUUAAUCUACUUUUUCCUUGUAAUUGACAUAGACCCGAGUUCUCUAAUAAAAUGAGGAUACUACAUUGGGAAUAGCCGGGAUAGCUCAGUUGN